GACGAACGCUGGCGGCGUGCUUAACACAUGCAAGUCGAACGGAAAGGCCCUGCUUUUGUGGGGUGCUCGAGUGGCGAACGGGUGAGUAACACGUGAGUAACCUGCCCUUGACUUUGGGAUAGCUUCAGGAAACUGGGGCUAAUACCGGAUAGGAGCUCCUGCUGCAUGGUGGGGGUUGGAAAGUUUCGGCGGUUGGGGAUGGACUCGCGGCUUAUCAGCUUGUUGGUGGGGUAGUGGCUUACCAAGGCUUGGACGGGUAGCCGGCCUGAGAGGGUGACCGGCCACAUUGGGACUGAGAUACGGCCCAGACUCCUACGGGAGGCAGCAGUGGGGAAUAUUGCACAAUGGGCGGAAGCCUGAUGCAGCAACGCCGCGUGCGGGAUGACGGCCUUCGGGUUGUAAACCGCUUUCGCCUGUGACGAAGCGUGAGUGACGGUAAUGGGUAAAGAAGCACCGGCUAACUACGUG
rnacentral:rRNA from 1 species